rnacentral:rRNA from 1 species
CAGUCGCCGCGGGAAUACGUAGGUGGCAAGCGUUGUCCGGAAUUAUUGGGCGUAAAGCGCGCGCAGGUGGUUUAAUAAGUCUGAUGUGAAAGCCCACGGCUCAACCGUGGAGGGUCAUUGGAAACUGUUAAACUUGAGUGCAGGAGUGAAAAGUGGAAUUCCUAGUGUAGCGGUGAAGUGCGUAGAGAUUAGGAGGAACACCAGUGGCGAAGGCGGCUUUUUGGCCUGUAACUGACACUGAGGCGCGAAAGCGUGGGGAGCAAACAGGAUUAGAUACCCGAGUAGUCCCUGUCUCUUAUAC